rnacentral:rRNA from 1 species
CCUACGGGAGGCAGCAGUGGGGGAUAUUGCACAAUGGGGGAAACCCUGAUGCAGCGACGCCGCGUGGGUGAAGAAGCGCCUCGGCGCGUAAAGCCCUGUCAGCAGGGAAGAAAAUGACGGUACCUGAAGAAGAAGCCCCGGCUAACUACGUGCCAGCAGCCGCGGCAAUACGUAGGGGGCAAGCGUUAUCCGGAUUUAUUGGGUGUAAGGGGGGCGCAGACGGCGAUGCAAGCCAGAGGUGAAAGCCCGGGGCCCAACCCCGGGACUGCUGUUGGAACUGCGUGGCUAGAGUGCAGGAGGGGCAGGCGGAAUGCCUGGUGUAGCGGUGAAAUGCGUAGAGAUCAGGAGGAACACCGGUGGCGAAGGCGGCCUACUGGACGGUGACUGACGCUGAGGCUCGAAAGCGUGGGGAGCAAACAGGAUUAGAUACCCCAGUAGUC